rnacentral:rRNA from 1 species
UGACCUGCCUUCGAGUGGGGGAUAACGUCCCGAAAGGGACGCUAAUACCGCAUAACAUCCUGCUUUUGAACAGGUGGAGAUCAAAGCUGGGGAUCCGCAAGGACCUGGCGCUCAAAGAGGGGCCCGCGUCUGAUUAGCUAGUUGGUGAGGUAACGGCUCACCAAGGCUCCGAUCAGUAUCCGGCCUGAGAGGGCGGACGGACACACUGGAACUGAAACACGGUCCAG